CUACGGGCGGCUGCAGUGAGGAAUAUUGCACAAUGGGGGAAACCCUGAUGCAGCAACGCCGCGUGGAGGAUGACGCAUUUCGGUGUGUAAACUCCUUUUAUAUGUCAAGAAAAUGACGGUAGCAUAUGAAUAAGCACCGGCUAACUCCGUGCCAGCAGCCGCGGUAAUACGGAGGGUGCAAGCGUUACUCGGAAUCACUGGGCGUAAAGGACGCGUAGGCUGGUUGGUAAGUCAGGUGUGAAAUCCUACAGCUUAACUGUAGAACUGUACUUGAAACUACCAACCUAGAGUAUGGGAGGGGGAGAUGGAAUUAGUGGUGUAGGGGUAAAAUCCGUAGAUAUCACUAGGAGUACCGAAAGCGAAGGCGAUCUCCUGGAACAUAACUGACGCUAAGGCGUGAAAGCGUGGGGAGCAAACAGGAUUAGAUACCCUCGUAGUC
rnacentral:rRNA from 1 species